AUGAACGCUGGCGGCGUGCCUAAUACAUGCAAGUCGAACGAAGAAGCAAGCUUGCUUGCUUCUUAGUGGCGAACGGGUGAGUAAUACAUAAAUAAUCUACCAUAAUGACUGGGAUAACCAAUGGAAACGUUGGCUAAUACCGGAUAGGUAAAACGAGGGCAUCUUUGUUUUAUUAAAGUAGGGCAACUACACAAUAUGAUGAGUUUAUGGCGCAUUAGCUAGUUGGAGAGGUAACGGCUCACCAAGGCGAUGAUGCGUAGCCGACCUGAGAGGGUGACCGGCCACACUGGGACUGAGACACGGCCCAGACUCCUGCGGGAGGCAGCAGUGGGGAAUCUUCCGCAAUGGACGAAAGUCUGACGGAGCAAUGCCGCGUGAGUGAAGAAGGUUUUC
rnacentral:rRNA from 1 species